GAUGAACGCUGGCGGCGUGCCUAAUACAUGCAAGUCGAGCGAACAGAUGAGGAGCUUGCUCCUCUGACGUUAGCGGCGGACGGGUGAGUAACACGUGGAUAACCUACCUAUAAGACUGGGAUAACUUCGGGAAACCGGAGCUAAUACCGGAUAAUAUAUUGAACCGCAUGGUUCAAUAGUGAAAGACGGUUUUGCUGUCACUUAUAGAUGGAUCCGCGCCGCAUUAGCUAGUUGGUAAGGUAACGGCUUACCAAGGCAACGAUGCGUAGCCGACCUGAGAGGGUGAUAGGCCAAAGUGGAGCUGAGACACGGUCCAGACUCAUACGGGAGGCAGCAGGAGGGAAUCUUCCGCAAUGGGCGAAAGCAUGACGGAGCAAGGCCGCGUGAGUGAUAAAGGUCUUCGGAUCGUAAAACUCUGUUAUUAGGGAAGAACAAAUGUGUAAGUAACUAUGCACGUCUUGACGGUACCUAAUCAGAAAGCCACGGCUAACUACGUG
rnacentral:rRNA from 1 species